AGAAUCUCCAUCAGUGAUCAGAACGACUUUCUUUUUUGAGUCUGGACGCAUCCCUGCACCGGGCUGAAAGUUGUGUUUCAGGACGUGAUCCAGACCUCUUCCUGUGUGUGGUAAAGAAGAAAUUCAGAAGCCAGACUAACAGAAGAAAGUCGACCCAGGUUAGACUCUGAGGGAAAAGUUGAGCCGCUGAAAAUGUGAAAAGUGGACGCAUCCUGGCAUUGAGCUGAAAGCUGUGAUUAAGGACAUGAUCCAGAGCUUUUCCUGUAUGUGAGAAGAACAAAUUCAGAAGUUGAAGAGACGUUCUAGGAGUCAGCAUUACAUGCCUAGGAAAAUAAUAAUCCAGUUUUAGGCGAUCUUAUUGGAAUUUGUGCUGAUGUGACCCAGGAAAUAUUCAGAAGCUUCUGUACUUAAAUAGACAUGUCUAAUAUCGCUUUUAUUUGCUUUCACUUUAAAACAGAAACAAACUGG